UCUGUUACUAAAGAGGAUUGCCUCUAGUACGGCGAGUGAGAGGGAAUAGUUCAGCAUGGCAUAUAAGGGACCCUCGGUCUUGAAUUGUAGUCUCGAGAUGCANUACCAACAGAGGCGCAGGUGUAAGCCUUCUGGAAAGGAGCACCACUUAGGGUGAGAGUCCCGUUUGUCACCUGCAGUCCGCUGCGUAAGGUGUGCCUUCUCUGAGUCACGCUCCUCGGAACUGGAACGCAAAUUGGGUGGUAAAUUUCAUCUAAAACUCAAUAUAGGGUUGAGACCGAUAGCAAACAAGUACCAUGAGGGAAAGGUGAAAAGGACUUUGAAAAGAGAGUUAAAAGUGCCUGAAAUCGCUGAAAAGGAAGCGAAUGGAGUCAGCAAUGCUUGGCGAAAUCUUUGGCGCACUGGCGUUAGUGCUCGCUGCUUCAGCGCAGUUGAGUGGCAGCUUCGAGCGUCGUGUGCGCUGUGUCUUUGGCCUUGCGCGUCAAUGCCAGUCCGCAACGGAGAAAUCUUGGGGACAUGUCAACUUCUUCGUGAGUGUGAUGUGCCUCUGGAACCCAUUUGCGAACUGAUNGGUGGUGUCUGGUUGCAGUGCUCUGUCUCACAGGCUCUCCCUAACACUCCAACANCGACCAAAUGAUUCCAUUCGACCCUCUUGAAACACGG
rnacentral:rRNA from 1 species